rnacentral:rRNA from 1 species
UACAGGGGGUGCAAGCGUUGUUCGGAAUUAUUGGGCGUAAAGCGCGUGUAGGCGGAUCGUUAAGUCUGGUGUGAAAUCCCUCGGCUCAACUGAGGACGUGCAUUGGAUACUGGCGACCUUGAGUCCUGGAGAGGGUAGCGGAAUUCCCAGUGUAGAGGUGAAAUUCGUAGAUAUUGGGAGGAACCCCGGUGGCGAAGGCGGCUACCUGGACAGUGACUGACGCUGAGACGCAAAAGCAUGGGUAGCAAACAGG